rnacentral:rRNA from 1 species
GAUGAACGCUAGCGGCAGGCUUAAUACAUGCAAGUCGAGGGGCAGCACGGGUAGCAAUACCUGGUGGCGACCGGCAAACGGGUGCGGAACACGUACGCAACCUUCCCAUAACUGGUGAAUAGCCCUCCGAAAGGAGGAUUAAUACACCGUAACUUAACGAAGUGGCAUCACUUUGUUAAUAUAGGCUUCGGCCGGUUUUGGAUGGGCGUGCGCCUGAUUAGGUAGUUGGCGGGGUAACGGCCCACCAAGCCUGCGAUCAGUAACUGGUGUGAGAGCACGACCAGUCACACGGGCACUGAGACACGGGCCCGACUCCUACGGGAGGCAGCAGUAAGGAAUAUUGGUCAAUGGACGAAAGUCUGAACCAGCCAUGCCGCGUGCGGGACGAAGGCCUUCGGGUUGUAAACCGCUUUCAGCCGGAAAGAAAUCGCCGUUUUAAUACAGACGGUGGAUGACGGUACCGGAAGAAGAAGCACCGGCUAACUACGUGCCAGCAGCCGCGGUAAAG